UUACAGUGGCUCAGUUACACCGGAAAGAUGCAACCAUAUCCAUUAGGCAUUGGAUGCUAUGAAUUAGAGGAUGGGUUGGGCUCAAUAUUUCGGAUACGGUGAGGAACCCAAUCAGGAAUCUAGUUCGUGCAAAUGGUGGGUCUGACUUAACUAAGGAUUGGAGCAAUAUCCCGGGCACGGUGAGCUUCAUGAAUUAGAGAC
rnacentral:lncRNA from 1 species